UGCCCAGCAACUCCUAUCCCUACCUCCUCGUGGUACUGGCCGGGGUACGAGUAACCUUAGGGAAGAUCGGUUAACCAACCCCCAGUGGGACCUUUGGUCGUAUGCUGACAGGGAAGG
rfam:Aedes aegypti strain Liverpool supercont1.665 genomic scaffold, whole genome shotgun sequence.